AUUGAACGCUGGCGGCAGGCCUAACACAUGCAAGUCGAACGCGUGGCGGACGGGUGAGUAAUGUCUGGGAAACUGCCUGAAGGAGAGGGAUAACUACUGGAAACGGAAGCUAAUACCACCUACCAUCGGAUGUGCACAGAUGGGAUUAGCUAGUAGGUGUGGUAAAGGCUCACCGAUGCGACGAUCCCUAGAUGGGCUGAGAGGAAGACCAGCCACACUGGAACUGAGACACGGUCCCGACGCCUACGGGAGUCAGCAGUGGGGAAUCUUGCACAAUGGGCGCAAGCCUGAUGCAGCCAUGCCGCGUGUAUGAAGAAGGCCUUCGGGUUGUAAAGUACUUUCAGCGGGGAGGCGUUACCCGCAGAAGAAGCACCUGCUAACUCCGUGCCAGCAGCCGCGGUAAUUC
rnacentral:rRNA from 1 species